GGGGAAGGGGCGACAGAGGAUGAGAUGGCUGGAUGGCAGCACCAACUCGAUGGGCAUGAGUUUGAGUAAACUCCGGAAGUUUGUGAUGGACAGGGAGGCCUGGCGUGCUGCGAUUCAUGGGGUCGCAAAGAGUCGGCCACGACUGAGAGACGGAACUGAACUGAAAAGCAUAAGUCUUCCAACUGGGGCUUCGUAUCAGCAUCAGCUUGUACAGUCAAGUCAUGCAGUCUUUGCAUGGAUUAUUUUACUGCAUGGACAAUUAGAGGUUAGAUUUGCCAAGGAAGCUACUAUAGCAAAAUCUGGUUUUCUUGCUAGGAGUUAGAAACCUCAUUAAACCAGAAGGACAACUGAAAAUUUAAGCUUCAUUAGACAAUACUAGGAAGCACUUGUUCAAAUUUGAUGUAUUUAUAUAACAUGGCUUUUUUUCUUUUGAUCAGAGCCUCAAAUUCUAAUUCAAUUGGUCAGCUCAGGCCUGUCUUCUUAUGAUUCACUGGCUGCAAAACCAGGACACUGUGCCUAUAUCAAUAUAUAUAUAAUAGUCAGGACAAUAUCUACUUCUAAACUUUUACAGAUAUGUUUAAAAUUUUAGUUCUACAACCUAAAUAUUCAAACAAUUGGGUGUGGUGAGCUGUGAUUCAUCUUCUCGAUUCCAAUAAAUAUGGCACAUUGCAUUUACAAUAGGGAAAGCUGUAAUUAGGUGUGUUUUUAUGAUUUAGCUCUGAUUUAAUCAACUCACCCCAGGUAGUCAGACAUAUUUUCUGACUGACAUAUGUCAGAAACUGACAUAGUUUCUGUCAGUACAGGAAUCCACAUAUUCUGAACCGAAUCUUUCUCCUGCAGAGGCUACAGCACACCUCUCUGUAAGCUUCUGGAGAACUUUUAAAUCAUUCUUUAAUUAAUGCUUUCAGCAUCCCUGUGACCUCAUUAUGCUGUUGUUAUUAAGCACUUUAUUUUCUUGGUCCCAAGAGUUCCUCAGAGCAAAUACAUGUUUCCCAGCAGACAUUUAUAUUUUCCGACAGAAGAGUUGGCUUCCCAUGCAUGAUAUAAAGCAAAUGUUAAUUAGGAUGAUGGUUAAGAUGGCCCAGACUCUUUCCAAACAUUUUCACAGUUGGCAGCAUUCCACUUUCCUCUUCCUGUAAGCCGAGAAACCUAAGUGGUUAUUUUUCUUCUUGGGGUAGAAAUAUCUAGGUAAAAGCAGUCAACGAAUAUUCAGAGUGGCUUAGCCAAAAGAUAUCCUGAGAAAAGCUCCCUAUUUAGGGCUCUCAUAGAAUGCCAUGAGGAGGGCUUCCCUGGUGGUCCAGUGGUUAAGAAUCUGCCUGCCAAUGCAGGGGACAUGGGUUCCAUCCCUGGCCUGGGAAGAUCCCACGUGCCUCGGGGCAACUAAGGCUGUGGGCCACAACUAUUAAGCCUGUGCUCUAGAGCCCAUGAGCCACGACUACUGAGCCCCCACACAUAGAGCCAGCCGCUGCUCCCCAACAAGCAAAGUCAGGGCAGUAAGAAGCCUGAACACACAACUAAGAGUAGCCCGUGCUGGCGGCAAUCAGAGAAACCUGCCCGCAGGAACAAAGACCCAGCGCAGUCAAAAAUAAAUUAAUACAUCUUUAGGAAAAAAAUACCAAGAGGAGGUUCAAUUCCUACGUUUCUGGAGGUCACAAUUAGCCCAGCUAUACUCUUUGACUCACAAGUCACUUCUGGGUAAUUUUCCAAAGAAAAAAUUAUAGAUGUGCAGACAGUUUGGAUGUGAAAGCUUAUGAAUGUUGGUAUCAUAGCACUGUUUACCAAUAGUGUCAAAUCUGGGAAAAACCUAUCUUUUUAAAAAUAGAUCAUAGGAUAUCCAUACAGUGGAAUUCUAUAAAGACUUUUUAAAAACUUUAAUAUAUGACGUGAAAAAUAUGUAUGAUUUAGUAUUACACAUAAACAAGCAGAUAAUGAAACAGCAUGUCUAGAGUUAUCUCGUUUUCUUAAUAUACAUACAUGUGUGACUGAAA
ensembl:lncRNA